CCUACGGGAGGCAGCAGUGAGGAAUAUUGGUCAAUGGGCGGGAGCCUGACCCAGCCAAGUCGCGUGAGGGAAGACGGUCCUAUGGAUUGUAAACCUCUUUAGGCGGGGAGCAAUGCCGGGCACGCGUGCCCGUAUGGAGAGUACCCGCAGAAUAAGCAUCGGCUAACUCCGUGCCAGCAGCCGCGGUAAUACGGAGGAUGCGAGCGUUAUCCGGAUUUAUUGGGUGUAAAGCGUGCGUAGGCGGCUUGUUAAGUCAGCGGUAAAAUGUCCGGGCUCAACCCUGGCCGGCCGUUGAAACUGGGGAUCUUGAGUGGGCGAGAAGUAUGCGGAAUGCGUGGUGUAGCGGUGAAAUGCAUAGAUAUCACGAAGAACUCCGAUGGCGAAGGCAGCAUACCGGCGCCCGACUGACGCUGAGGCACGAAAGCGUGGGGAUCGAACAGGAUUAGAUACCCCUGUAGUC
rnacentral:rRNA from 1 species